UUUUAGAGUUUGAUCCAUGGCUCAGAACGAAUGCUGGCGGCGUGGAUUAGGCAUGCAAGUCUUACGGGCCCGGGUAGCAAUCCUCGGGUCAGUGGCGAAAGGGUGAGUAACACGUGAGUAACCUGCCCUUAGGAUUGGGAUAACCCCGCGAAAGCGGGGCUAAUACCGAGUGUGACCGUGUUGUCUUCGGAUGAUACGGUGAAAGGAUGGCCUCUAUUUAUGAGCUAUCGCCUUUGGAUGGGCUCGCGGUGUAUUAGCUAGUUGGUAGGGUAAUGGCCUACCAAGGCUAUGAUGCAUAGCUGGCCUGAGAGGGUGGUCAGCCACACUGGGACUGAGACACUGCCCAGACACCUACGGGUGGCUGCAGUCGAGGAUCUUUCGCAAUGGGGGAAACCCUGACGAAGCGACGCCGCGCGAGCGAUGAAGGCCUUCGGGUCGUAAAGCUCUGUCACGAGGGAAGAAAAGUUUCGAGGUGAUACCAUCUCGAGGUAAGACUGACCCUGAGAGGAAGCCACG
rnacentral:rRNA from 1 species